GUUCAAGAGGAAUCACGGUGCCUUGUGGAGGAACUGAGGAAAACCAAUGGUGAUCAUACUUUUCUGUUUUGACUUUUCCAUCCUGAUACAGGUGAUGAACAGAUCUUCAAUUACUAUGUGAAUGCUACUCAACCCUGAAAUACAUUUCAUAGAACAGUCAAGUUAUCUGCUUAAAUUAUGAAGAAACUUGUCUUUAAGUACUUUCUCCAAAAUAAAAUGAAGACUGGCAAUCAUAUUUUGGCUCACCCUGUGACCCUACCUUCAUCUUGGGCUGUGCUCCUUGCAAUGUCAUCUGCUCCAUUAUUUUCCAGAAUUGUUUUGAUUAUAAAGAUCAAGAUUUUCUUAGCUUGAUGGAAAAACUCAAUGAGAACAUCAAGAUUGUGAGCAGUCCCUGGAUAUAGGUGAAGAAAAUUCAUCUCCUCCUGAAAGCAAAGUUAUGACUAUUCUUUUUCACAGAUCAAAUUACAAGGGGACUAAUAGUGAUGUAAUGGUACCCAUGCCCUGCCUAGAGUAGUAUGAAUGGGACCUCUGGAAGAGAGGUCUAUGUCCUUCGCUAAACCAACAGAUAAAUAAAGCACAAAUGCCAAGAAAGCUC
ensembl:lncRNA